rnacentral:rRNA from 1 species
GAAUUCGCCCUGAGAGUUUGAUCCUGGCUCAGGACGAACGCUGGCGGCGUGCCUAACACAUGCAAGUCGAACGGAGGGCUUAAGGAAUGCGACUUCGGUCAAAUGACUUUUGAACAUAGUGGCGGACGGGUGAGUAACGCGUGAGCAACCUGCCUUUCAGAGGGGGAUAACAUUUGGAAACAGAUGCUAAUACCGCAUAAGAUUACAGUACCGCAUGAUACAGUGAUCUAAGGAGCAAUCCGCUGAAAGAUGGGCUCGCGUCCGAUUAGAUAGUUGGUGAGGUAACGGCUCACCAAGUCGACGAUCGGUAGCCGGACUGAGAGGUUGAACGGCCACAUUGGGACUGAGACACGGCCCAGACUCCUACGGGAGGCAGCAGUGGGGAAUAUUGCACAAUGGGGGAAACCCUGAUGCAGCGACGCCGCGUGGAGGAAGAAGGUCUUCGGAUUGUAAACUCCUGUUGUUGAGGAAGAUAAUGACGGUACUCAACAAGGAAGUGACGGCUAACUACGUGCCAGCAGCCGCGGUAAAACGUAGGUCACAAGCGUUGUCCGGAAUUACUGGGUGUAAAGGGAGCGCAGGCGGGAAGACAAGUUGGAAGUGAAAUCUAUGGGCUCAACCCAUAAACUGCUUUCAAAACUGUUUUUCUUGAGUAGUGCAGAGGUAGGCGGAAUUCCCGGUGUAGCGGUGGAAUGCGUAGAUAUCGGGAGGAACACCAGUGGCGAAGGCGGCCUACUGGGCACCAACUGACGCUGAGGCUCGAAAGUGUGGGUAGCAAACAGAAAUAGAUACCCUGGUAGUCCACACCGUAAACGAUGACUAAAAGGUGUUGGAG